rnacentral:rRNA from 1 species
UACCCCAUAGCUAGCCUAACAACUAAAUGCAACAGCAAACAUCAAUAACCCCUCCAACCCUAAAAACCCUAAACAAACCAUUUUUCCCCCUUAGUAUGGGCGACAGAAAAGGACAUUAGAGCAAUAGAAGAAGUACCGCAAGGGAACGCUGAAAGAGAAGUGAAAUAACCCAGAAAAGUAUUAAAAAGCAGAGACUAAGCCUCGUACCUUUUGCAUCAGGAAUUAGCUAGUGCACCCAAGCAAAGAGCCCUUUAGUUUGAGCGCCCGAAACUAGAUGAGCUACUCCAAGACAGCCUAUAAAUAGGGCACACCCGUCUCUGUGGCAAAAGAGUGGGAGGAGCUUUGAGUAGAGGUGAAAUACCUACCGAGCCUAGUUAUAGCUGGUUGCCUGGGACUUGGAUAGAAGUUCAGCCUCCCCGCUCUUUUCCCCAAACCUUGACAAACCCCUAUCGAGCAGAAAGAAGCUAGGAGAGUUAGUCAAAGGAGGUACAGCCCCUUUGACAAAAGACACAACUUUUUAAGGAGGAUAAAGAUCACAAUAUAAGACAGUACACCUAAGUGGGCCUAGAAGCAGCCAUCCUUAUAGAAAGCGUUAUAGCUCAAGUGUACAAGACACCCCCCUAUCCCGAUAACCCAAUCUUAAUCCCCUACCCCUACCAGGCCCUUCCAUGCACCCAUGGAAAAGAUUAUGCUAAUAUGAGUAAUAAGAGGGCCCCCCCCUCUCCUCGCACAAGUGUAACCCGGAACGAACCCACCACCGGACUUUAACGGCCCCAAACAAAGAGAGCAAUGGACAAAGGACUAAAUAACAAGAAAACCACCCAACCCCUAACCGUUAACCCCACACUGGUGUGCCACAAAGGAAAGACUAAAGAGAGAGAAGGAACUCGGCAAACAUAAGCCUCGCCUGUUUACCAAAAACAUCGCCUCUUGCAAUUUAUGAAUAAGAGGUCCCGCCUGCCCUGUGACUAUUAGUUUAACGGCCGCGGUAUUUUGACCGUGCGAAGGUAGCGUAAUCACUUGUCUUUUAAAUGGAGACCUGUAUGAAUGGCACAACGAAGGCUUAGCUGUCUCCUCUUUCCAGUCAAUGAAAUUGAUCUCCCCGUGAAGAAGCGGGGAUAAGAACAUAAGACGAGAAGACCCUAUGGAGCUUUAGACCCUCAAACAGACUAUGUUAAGAACCCUUAAUGCAAGGAAGAAACGAGAUACAUCCCUGUUUAAGUGUCUUCGGUUGGGGCGACCACGGGGAAAUAAAAAACCCCCACGCGGAACGGAAGCACACCUUCUAAAACUAAGAGCCCCCGCUCUAAUUAGCAGAAUUUCUGACCAUAAAGAUCCGGCGAAGCCGAUCAACGGAACGAGUUACCCUAGGGAUAACAGCGCAAUCCCCUCCUAGAGACCCUAUCGACAAGGGGGUUUACGACCUCGAUGUUGGAUCAGGACAUCCUAAUGGUGCAGCCGCUAUUAAGGGUUCGUUUGUUCAACGAUUAAAGUCCUACGUGAUCUGAGUUCAGACCGGAGUAAUCCAGGUCAGUUUCUAUCUAUGAUGUGGUCUUUUCUAGUACGCAAGGACCGAUAAGACGAGGCCUAUGUUGAAGACACGCCCCACCCUCACCUAAUGAACACAACUAAACUAGACAAGAGGACGCACCCCCAAUGCCCGAGAUAAUGGCAC